AUUACAAAAUAUUGGUUGUUUCAUCAUUCUGAGCAUUAUGUUGCCACUACAUGUUUGUCUCCAUUUGUGGUUUUUGUAUUAAGGAAAUGUGUGCUUGUUCUAGUUUUACUACUCUUUGUAAAUCCAUGUACUGUAAUAUUUUAAAGCACCGGAGAAGCACAGGAGAGUUGUCCCUGAACCGAAAGUUCCAGCUGCCCCCAGGGAAGCUCCAGGAGUUAAAGGUACAAAUCAGUUCCUCAUCUGGGUGAUGCACCUUCAAGGAAAAUAUGUUUGAUUUACUGUCUUGUUUCUACAUGUUGAAAUGGGUGGUGUGUGCUUACAGAGAUGAAUGGUUGUCUCAAAUUCCAUCUUGUACUGUGACAGGUAUUGUUUGUGUUGACUCAGUAAAGCACACUGUGAUAUAGUAAGCAAUGAAAAAUAUUGCAUCUUAAUAUUCUUUCUUAUCUUCCUUCUUAUCUUACUCAUUUUUCUAAAGUUCCUGAAGUUUGUAAGAAAGUAGCUCCUAAAGAGAAAGUGCCUGUCCCUGUGCCUAAAAAAAUGGAGGCUCCACCACCAAGAGAACCUGCAGAAGAACAGGUACCCACUUUUGAGAUAGAAGUUGAAGAACCUCCAUCAACAAAAGUGACUGAAGUACACAGGAAAAUUAUCACAGAAGGAAAAGUUGCAGUUGCUAAAAAAGAGGAGGCUCCACCAAAAAGAGGUAUAUCUUUUUUUCAGAGCUACGCAAUAGAAGUCUUGUUUCAAGAAUACUGAUUUAUAUUUAUAAUAUCUAAUUGUUUAACACAAGCUGUAUUGUUCAGUGUUUGCUGUCUUUUUUUUUUAUUUGACUUGAAGAAAUGUCAAGUCCCUGCAUUUGUGUUUUGUCAUCUGAUUAUGUUAAUAAACUGUGAUUGAUUCAAAAUCAUUUUAAAUACUUUUUUUUUUUUUUUAACAAAAUGUCAGCAGUGCCCAAGAAGCCUGUGCCAGAAGAGAAAGUACCUGUUCCAAUUUCACAGAAAAUGGCAGGUCCACCAGCAAAAGGUACACAAGUUUGUUUGAAAGCACAGAAGGCUUCCAAAUAUCAGAUGUGCAUACACGCAAUGUUUCUGGUUAAUCAAAUCCCAGUCUUUCCUGACUUGGUUAUAAAUGGAAAGGACCUUUGUCUUCUCCCCUGCAAAAAAUGCAGAAGGUGACAGAGAACAGCCACACGCAUUCAUUCCUUGAAUUUUCUAGCACUAUUUAACUUCAUUGAUUACUUUGGCUGCUUAAGUGCUUUGGAAAGCUGAGUUAACACAUUUACUCAGUGAAGAAGUUAAAUAAAUAUUAAUGCAUUAGAUUAAAAAAAAAUAUUAAUGCUUUAUAACAUUGUCAAUAUUCA